rnacentral:rRNA from 1 species
AGUGAACGCUGGCGGUAGGCCUAACACAUGCAAGUCGAACGGCAGCACAGUAAGAGCUCGUGCUUACGGGUGGCGAGUGGCGGACGGGUGAGGAAUACAUCGGAAUCUACUUUUGCGUGGGGGAGAACGUAGGGACACUUACGCUAAUACCGCAUACGACCUACGGGUGAAAGCAUGGGAUCUUCGGACCUUGCGUGAUUGAAUGAGCCGAUGUCGGAUUAGCUAGUUGGCGGGGUAAAGGCCCACCAAGGCGACGAUCCGUAGCUGGUCUGAGAGGAUGAUCAGGCACACUGGAACUGAGACACGGUCCAGACUCCUACGGGAGGCAGCAGUGGGGAAUAUUGGACAAUGGGCGAAAGCCUGAUCCAGCCAUGCCGCGUGUGUGAAGAAGGUCUUCGGAUUGUAAAGCACUUUAAGUGGGGAGGAAGGGCAGUAAGUUAAUACCUUGCUGUUUUGACGUUACCAACAGAAUAAGCACCGGCUAACUUCGUG